rnacentral:rRNA from 1 species
GUCCCCGCGAGNGUNGGGGCGUCAAACCCCGGCGCGGAAUGAAAGUGAACGGAGGUGGGAGCCCCCCCGGGGGCGCACCAUCGACCGAUCCUGAUGUCUUCGGAUGGAUUUGAGUACGAGCGCGGCCGUUGGGACCCGAAAGAUGGUGAACUAUGCCUGGGUAGGGUGAAGCCAGAGGAAACUCUGGUGGAGGCUCGCAGCGGUUCUGACGUGCAAAUCGAUCGUCAAACCUGGGCAUAGGGGCGAAAGACUAAUCGAACCAUCUAGUAGCUGGUUCCUGUCGAAGUUUCCCUCAGGAUAGCAGCCGCGCGUGCCGGUUUUAUGAGGUAAAGCGAAUGAUUAGAGGCCUUGGGGGUGCAACACCCUUAACCUAUUCUCAAACUUUAAAUAUGUAAGAAGCCCCUGUUGCUUCGGUGAACGGGGGCAUUCGAACGCGGCGCGGCUAGUGGGCCAUUUUUGGUAAGCAGAACUGGCGAUGCGGGAUGAACCGAACGCGGGGUUAAGGUGCCGGAAUGCACGCUCAUCAGACACCACAAAAGAUGUCAAUUCAUCCGGACAGCCGGACGGUGGCCAUGGAAGCCGGAACCCG